UACAGUUAGCCAUUGUUAGCAGCUAGCUAGCGUUACCUUAAUAACAUCUAUCAACCAAGGCCUGUCUCCAACGCGAAUUUAACACUGCCUGGGUCAAUAGAGAUGGAGAAUGGGAAGCCUGAUCUGCUGCUAGUCAAAGAGGAGACAAUAGAGGAUGGACCAGCGAGCAUUGAUCUGCUGAAGAUGGGAGCGCACGGUGGUUGGCUGGAGGCUAACAGAGGAGACUGCGUGUCCAUCUUGGAUUCCAAGACCCAGAUGGGUGCAGCCAAGGGCCUAGGGGACGACAUCACAGAUCAGGCCAGGACCAGAGGUGACAUAGUGGAGGUCAAUGGAUAGGACGGCGUCUUCAAAUCUGGGCUGGGGACAACACUUUUCACCACAACCAGAAACUGACAGUUUAACACAAAACAACAACCAAACUUUGUCUCCAUACUGGCUGAGACUAGGGCGAGGCGUAGAUUUUGUCUACUUCAUUCUUGAAUCAACGCAUAUGGACUUUUUUUUUUACUCCAAUGGCUCCAUAUUGUUAGUCUGCAGUCCAUGAGGACCUGCUGGUAUUCGGUGUUGCUGGUGGGAGAGACUGGACCUCUGAGGUGGCUGGUCACAAAGCCUGUCGCUGGAUCAGGACACUGGAUCAGGAGCCAUCUCUCUUCCUUCCCGAGUCGGAACUGGCACCCACCCACUAGAGACAGACUCGAUCACCACCAGUGGACAAGGGGACUGAACAACCUCAGUCCUGGUAGUCAUCAGAGAGACAGAGGCUCCAAUCAUGGAUCCAGUCUGCAGCCCAGACCCUUCUCUUCACAGUCUCAGAGCAGGGAUGAAGCAGGGCCUAAUAGAGAGAGACCCUCCUGUUCCUAUGAUACAAACACCACAGUAUCCAUGAUGAACAGAACAGGUCACCCUGGGCUUCAGCCUUCACAGAGAGUGGUGGGAGACUCCCCUGGUGGUAGUCUAUCAGGAAGUAUUUUCUCCUUCAGGGUCUCAUCUUAUGCCUCGUGACUGGGUUCAUAGAAGGUCUGGGGCUGGACCUGGGUCUAGCCUUCCUCAAUUAGAAUACCUCAUGGUUACCCCACCAAUACAGUGCAUUUGCAAAGUAUUCAUACCCCUUCCCAUUUUCCACAUUUUGUUACGUUACAGCCUUAUUCUACAAUGGAUACAAUUUAAAAUAGUGUGUUUAUCAAACAUAUGAUUAAUUGUACUGAUAUGCUGAUUGUGAAGAAGAUUUGAUGGUGUUUAUCGAACAUAUGAUUAAUUGUACUACAUAAACAAACAAAAAGUUAAAGAAACUGGAGCUGAAAGGUUUUUGUGUUUCCAGUAAUUCAUUGCUGAAACAUCGCAAAGAAUACUGUCCGAAUAUGCUCUUCUUCUCAGGCCCCAGACUCUAAAUAAAGGAGUACAUUGAG